rnacentral:rRNA from 1 species
CAGCCGCCGCGGCAAUACCGGCGGCCCGAGUGGCGGCCACUAUUAUUGGGCUUAAAGCGUCCGUAGCCGGGUUGGUUAGUCUCCCGGGAAAUCUGGCCGCUUAACGGUCAGAAUUCCGGGAGAUACUGCCAGCCUAGGGACCGGGAGAGGCCGAGGGGCUUCCCGGAGUAGGGGUGAAAUCCUAUAAUCCCGGGAGGACCACCUGUGGCGAAGGCGCUCGGCUGGAACGGGUCCGACGGUGAGGGACGAAGGCCAGGGGAGCAAACCGGAUUAGAUACCCGGGUAGUCCUGGCUGUAAACGAUGCGGACUUUGUGUCGGACAAGCUAUGAGCUUGUCCGGUGCCGGAGGGAAACCGUUAAGUCCGCCGCCUGGGGAGUACGGCCGCAAGGCUGAAACUUAAAGGAAUUGGCGGG